rnacentral:rRNA from 1 species
UCGUAACAAGGUUUCCGUAGGUGAACCUGCGGAAGGAUCAUUACCGAGUGCGGGUCCUUUGGGCCCAACCUCCCAUCCGUGUCUAUUAUACCCUGUUGCUUCGGCGGGCCCGCCGCUUGUCGGCCGCCGGGGGGGCGCCUUUGCCCCCCGGGCCCGUGCCCGCCGGAGACCCCAACACGAACACUGUCUGAAAGCGUGCAGUCUGAGUUGAUUGAAUGCAAUCAGUUAAAACUUUCAACAAUGGAUCUCUUGGUUCCGGCAUCGAUGAAGAACGCAGCGAAAUGCGAUAACUAAUGUGAAUUGCAGAAUUCAGUGAAUCAUCGAGUCUUUGAACGCACAUUGCGCCCCCUGGUAUUCCGGGGGGCAUGCCUGUCCGAGCGUCAUUGCUGCCCUCAAGCCCGGCUUGUGUGUUGGGUCGCCGUCCCCCUCUCCGGGGGGACGGGCCCGAAAGGCAGCGGCGGCACCGCGUCCGAUCCUCGAGCGUAUGGGGCUUUGUCACAUGCUCUGUAGGAUUGGCCGGCGCCUGCCGACGUUUUCCAACC